GGAGAGAUGGCCGAGUGGCUGAAGGCAACGGUUUGCUAAACCGUCAUACGGACAUAAAUCCGUAUCGGGGGUUCGAAUCCCCCUCUCUCCGCCA
rnacentral:tRNA from 1 species